UUUAGGCCGCCCCGCUGGUGGUAUCUGCUUGUUCCUGGGCCCUACUGCUGAGCUCCACCUCUAGCAUGUCACCCAGAGCACUGCUCAGCUAGUCACUGGACAUGGAUAUCACCAAAAGCCUCAGGCAUGGAGGACCUAGAACCAAGAUUCAAAGAUGGAAACAACUGAGGAUCAAUCCAGAGACACCAGACCUGUCUCCCCCCAAUAAGAGGAAUUCAAAAGAAGAAGGGAAAGAAGAUGGCCCAGAGAGACCCAAUAAACAGUGAAGCUACCCUCGUGGAAGCAGCUAAAGAAUCUGAUGCUGCAGGCUGAGCAAAUGACUCCGCAGCAAGGAAAAACUAAGUCUCUAACUAUGAUGCUCGUCACAAUACUAGCUCUACUGAGCUGCGAGGAUGUUGUGCCUUCAGGACAAGAAUCCAGGGACUCGAGAUAGUGACUCGUCACCUGCUUUUUCAAAGAAAGAAGGGGAAAUAUGUGGGGAGCUGCAGCUUUGAAUGACCAUGCCUUCCAGGCCUGAUGCACCAGUCUCCGACCACAUUUGUUGUGGCUUGGGCAUUGACCCAGCUCAGACAGCAAGACUGUCUUCUUUGUAGGAGUGUCCCUGGCGUUGAGUUACACUCACCUGUUCCCUUGAAAUCCUACCCCUUCUGCCCUUUUAUGGAUGGAACCUUCUAAGAACAGUGUCCCCCCAAGAAAAGCUGACUUCCGAACGUGCUCGCUUGCUCUCUCGCCAUCC